rnacentral:rRNA from 1 species
AGAGUUUGAUUAUGGCUCAGGAUGAACGCUGGCGGCGUGCCUAACACAUGCAAGUCGAACGGUUAAGGCGCCUUCGGGCGCGAAUAGAGUGGCGAACGGGUGAGUAACGCGUGGCCAACCUGCCCCCUCCUCCGGGACAACCUCGGGAAACCGAGGCUAAUACCGGAUGCUCCGGGCCCCCCGCAUGGGGGGCCCGGGAAAGCCCAGGCGGGAGGGGAUGGGGCCGCGUCCCAUCAGGUAGUAGGCGGGGUGACGGCCCACCUAGCUGACGACGGGUAGCCGGACUGAGAGGUCGAACGGCCACAUUGGGACUGAGACACGGCCCAG